ACCUCUCAGGGUAAUCGAUUACACCUGAAUGUUUUCCAGAUUUUUUCUUUUUAUUAAAUGUGUGUUAUUUGUCUAUGUUUUAACCAUUAUGUAUGGACAAGUUAUUUUAUAUUAAGUUAUGUUCUUUUGGUUGUUUUGUUAUUUGUUUAUAUGUUCAUAUUAUUUGCUAUAUUAUCAUACAACAUAUGGUUGUUCAUUGUUUAGUCUUUCCCAUCCUUUUUGCUAAUGACAAAGGGGGGGAAGAUA
rnacentral:lncRNA from 1 species